UGCGUAGGCGGCUUUUUAAGUCGGAUGUGAAAUCCCUGAGCUUAACUUAGGAAUUGCAUUCGAUACUGGGAAGCUAGAGUAUGGGAGAGGAUGGUAGAAUUCCAGGUGUAGCGGUGAAAUGCGUAGAGAUCUGGAGGAAUACCGAUGGCGAAGGCAGCCAUCUGGCCUAAUACUGACGCUGAGGUACGAAAGCAGUGGGAGCAAACA
rnacentral:rRNA from 1 species